rnacentral:sRNA from 1 species
CACCUGGUCCGCGGAGAUGAAAUGGAUGUGGGUGUCCACGCCGCCGGCGGUGAGGAUCUUGCGCUCCCCCGCGAUGAUUUCGGUGCUGGCGCCGAUCACAAUGUCCACGCCGUCGGCGAUCUGCGGGUUGCCGGCCUUCCCGAUCUUGAAAAUGUGGCCGUCCUUCAGGGCGACGUCGGCCUUGUAGAUUCCGGUGUAGUCCAGCACCACCACAUUGGUGAUCACAGUGUCGGGGACAUCCAGCUUUUCAGGGCCGCCGCGCGGCAGGUCGCCG